rnacentral:rRNA from 1 species
CAGUAGCCGCGGGAAUACGGAGGGUGCAAGCGUUAUCCGGAUUUAUUGGGUUUAAAGGGUCCGUAGGCGGAUCUGUAAGUCAGUGGUGAAAUCUCACAGCUUAACUGUGAAACUGCCAUUGAUACUGCAGGUCUUGAGUAAAUUUGAAGUGGCUGGAAUAAGUAGUGUAGCGGUGAAAUGCAUAGAUAUUACUUAGAACACCAAUUGCGAAGGCAGGUCACUAAGAUUUAACUGACGCUGAUGGACGAAAGCGUGGGGAGCGAACAGGAUUAGAUACCCCUGUAGUCCCUGUCUCUUAUAA